GCUUCUGGGCGAUGGUGGCAUGGGACAAAUAGAUCCUGGACCUGCUCUCGUUCCAGAGCUCUAUCAUAGGCGUUCAAUGCUCCUAGGGAUCAAAGCUGCAUUUCAUUUUCUGAUUUCCGUUUGUUUUCGCUGAACUUGUCUGGAGUAGGCCUGACAACAUGGUAUGUUCGUAACUUACAUGUAGGGAGGUAAGAUUCUCGACUUUGGUGUGGGUGGUGGUCACCCAUUCGGUUCCCUCGAACAAGCCAAGAGUUAGUUUCCUGUUCAUCCCACCUGUGCUCGCGAUAGAGGUUCCCUCCAAUGCGAUUCCAAUUUUCAUUCUCCACUCUCGCUCUUUCAUUUAGCUAGGAUUAUGCGCUGCGCUCCACAGUCCCCAUUUUCCCAAUCCCCUUUGCCUUUUUCUCUGCCAAUUUUGGUCCGGCAUACACUGCAAUGAUGGACAAGACACUAAACUCCUCCCAGUCAAUUUCUCAUAAUCCCUCCAUUCCAUCCCCUUCUACUUCCAGCUGCAUUGCUUAAUAUUCAUUGGUUCAACCUCGUAGCUCGUCCGAUGAAGGUGAGGAGGUCGAAGCACGAGUGCCUGAAGAAGUGACCGACAAGGAGGACAGUGAUGUGUACGAAACCUCUCGCCUGACAACAACCUUGAAAAAUGCGGCAAAGAUAAUAUAAGUGCUCAUGCCUCACCUGCCACUACUUCAAGGAGCUUGGUAAAGCAUUUCUGCAUGAUUAUAGAUACAUUUGAUGAGUACAAAAAAUAGUUGGUCUGGGAAAUUGGGUUUGGUGGGAUGCUUGAACUUCCAUCAAUCAAGAAGCUUAACAUUAGGUUCAACAUUUGGUUGAUGCGCUAAGUCGACUACAUUGCUCGUGUUGUUGCUAUAGAUGGCAACCGAAUUCUGCAUCUAUUCGCUGAGGAUGUUAGUACUGUGUUUAGUAUACCCUGUGGUGGAAAGGCCAUGAAUUGUCCCCAUGCAUACAUCUCUCAGGCAGCAGUUCGGUUUGUUAAGGAGAGCAUUGGGCUUACUGGCAAAAAUUCUUACAAUCUCAAGGCAGUGGAGUCUUUUGUCUAUAUGGAUGUCUCAAGGAACUCAUCUCGGAUGGUUGCAGAUGCUUUCAAAGUUGCAUUUGUUGUUUUUGCCAUGUCCACUGUUCUUGCACUAUCCACAAAGCAUACAUAUGACAUUGUUGAUUACUGGGGAGCUCUAUUCAGGGUUGAUGAAAUUGUUGAGUUCAAUUGGGCUGCCUAUGUUCUCAACUCUGUUAUCGAAGCCACUCAAAAAGUUUAGUGUGACGUAGCACGCAAAAGUUCAGUCUCCAAUAUUUCAGGCUACGACCUGUUUCUGUAGGUAAUUUUGUGCUAUAUGGUAGUAGAUGCUUCAACUAAUGUAGGUCGAUUUAUGUCACUGAUUUUUUGGCACACUAAUCUACAGGUUAUUUAUCUUGACAACCUGGAACUUGGCCCGCUGAAGCUUCCUCACACUUCAUUUCCACGUAUUAAGGAUUUCACGGGUGACACACUCAGUAAGAUGAUUGCUGCUGACACCUACCGUUGUUAUUCCAACACAGAUUCUGAUUUUAGUGCUUGUAAGUUUCACGAACGCUCUGAAGUUAGCUACUGACAUCGGGAAUUGGGCCCCCUAAAGCAAUCUAUUCCCCUAGUCCCCUAUGUCAUCAGGCACCAAAUUGCUUGAUUUUGGAGACAUGCCCAAGUUCAUUUAGCAACACUACCCUGACCAGCAAGGAACCACCAUUGGCAUUGCUUUGAAGAAGUUCAAUGCUCAGCAAUAGAAGUGUAUGGUCAAUCUAAAAAAAUCACUUAUUGAAGCUGCAAUCAAGCUCGCCGAUUCCAUUCUGAAGCACGAGCAAGAAAAAUCUCUUCUUACUACCCCUACCACCGUGAAGAAUGCUUCUGCUACUGCUCCCACUCAUGGUUCAAGGCUGUCACUCCGCGAUAUUGUUAUAGCUCAACAUCUCGACCUUUCUGACACUGAAGCUGAGAGUGCCGCCAGCAAAUAUGUGGAGACUCAGCAUGCUCACAUGUCGGUGGAUGCUACUUCCAAAAGGUUCCAAUGCAGUGCAACAGCACCAUACCUCAAGAAACAGCGGAGCUUCACGAGUGCAGGUGUUGUGACUUUGCUACCGCUCCUGUUUCCUAGUUGCUCUGAGAUCCACACUCCUCGUAACAAUUUUGUUCCACCGCCUCCGUGCAACUCGGCUGAAAAGCCUUUCACUCCAAGGAGGAAGCUGAAACUGGACGCUGAGUGCAUAAUUGUUACUCUAAUGUGUAAUGCUGAUGAAGUUAAAGAUCAUUAGGGCAAAUGCCUAUUCGGUCAGUGCAGUACUGAACCAAUCAAAACCAAGAAAUUAACUCUCUGUGGAAAUGCAAGGUCUCCUUGGAACAUGGGUUGCAUUCACCCGGUCCAUGACGGCAAUAUUACAUAGAAAUUAGCAGAUUGGUUUUAUGGUGCAAGCUUCGUGGUGCUUAAAAGGUACUGGAUCAUCCAUCACACACCAAAGUAUAUCCAGCUCAAUGGAGAGUCAUUUAGAUGUCAGCUCGUUGUAUCGGACUUUAUGGGACCUGAACUAUGUGAUGUGCUCAUUAGGCGGCUCACCCAGCUCGAUGUUGACAUGCACACAAACAAUUGGAAAUGUUGUUGGAGGCAUUUCCUGGAGUCCGAUUUUUCUACAUUUGUAUUAGCUAAAUAUGAGGUUACUGUUCUGAUUUCAAUCCGUGAGCAGUUUGUUGGGAACAAUGUGCCGUACAAUUUGUCUGCAUGUCGAAUGGUACUGUUUAUUGCCGAAAAAGUUCUGUCAUUGCUUUUUGUGUCUAAUCAUAUAUGGUAUCAUAUUUAUGCGGUUUCUUAUUCCCGCCUGCCUAUCUUUAAGCUGGUGUUGUUUCGUAUGGGACAUGGAGAAGAAAUGCAUUCAUGUGCUUGAUCCUACAGGACCAAAUCCAAACAUUGAACUGAAGAGGCUGGUUGCAAAGAAAUUACAUGAUGCUUUAUUCAAAUGCAUUCAUGAAUUCUUUGACAAUUGGAAACCAGGACCUAAUGGAUGGAAAUCGAGUUCCCCCUGCUGAAGAUGGAUGCUUGCAACCUGGUGGACUCAGGUGUAUGAAUGCUUUAUUGCGCCUGUAAUUUCAACGGAGAAAAUCUUCAAGUCCCUCUAAGUCAAGCUCAAUUCCCUUCAAUUCGGAAUGACCUUCUGUAUGAAGCUUUCACAAUUUCUGGCAACAACACAACGCUUCCUCUUGCUAUCACCAACAUCAUUAGCGACUCAUGCUACUAAGUGACAACCGGUGUUCACUGUACAGUUGUCGUGUUAUGCAAUAUUUUGCUAUUGUAUUGUAUGCUACGAUUUAGCGACGAACUUGUCCUAAUGUAUUGUAACAUAUUGUCUAACUCAUCUUACGACGAACUUGGAACCUUAUGUAUUAUUCUGUAUGUAUUGAUGCCACCAAACUUGGGAACCACUACCGACCUAAUGUCUUCACAUUGCUGCUUCUAGUUUCA